rnacentral:rRNA from 1 species
GAUGAACGCUAGCGGCAGGCUUAACACAUGCAAGUCGAGGGGUAGGAGAAGCUUGCUUUUCUGAGACCGGCGCACGGGUGCGUAACGCGUAUGCAAUCUACCUUUCACAGAGGGAUAGCCCAGAGAAAUUUGGAUUAAUACCUCAUAGUAUAAUUGAGUGGCAUCACUUAAUUAUUAAAGAUUUAUCGGUGAAAGAUGAGCAUGCGUCCCAUUAGCUAGUUGGUAUGGUAACGGCAUACCAAGGCAACGAUGGGUAGGGGUCCUGAGAGGGAGAUCCCCCACACUGGUACUGAGACACGGACCAGACUCCUACGGGAGGCAGCAGUGAGGAAUAUUGGACAAUGGGCGCAAGCCUGAUCCAGCCAUGCCGCGUGCAGGAUGACGGUCCUAUGGAUUGUAAACUGCUUUUAUACAGGAAGAAACACCUCUACGUGUAGAGACUUGACGGUACUGUAAGAAUAAGGAUCGGCUAACUCCGUGCCAGCAGCCGCGGUAAUACGGAGGAUCCAAGCGUUAUCCGGAAUCAUUGGGUUUAAAGGGUCCGUAGGCGGUCAGGUAAGUCAGUGGUGAAAGCCCAUCGCUCAACGGUGGAACGGCCAUUGAUACUGUCUGACUUGAAUUAUUAGGAAGUAACUAGAAUAUGUAGUGUAGCGGUGAAAUGCUUAGAGAUUACAUGGAAUACCAAUUGCGAAGGCAGGUUACUACUAAUUGAUUGACGCUGAUGGACGAAAGCGUGGGUAGCGAACAGGAUUAGAUACCCUGGUAGUCCACGCCGUAAACGAUGGAUACUAGCUGUUGGGAGCAAUCUCAGUGGCUAAGCGAAAGUGAUAAGUAUCCCACCUGGGGAGUACGAACGCAAGUUUGAAACUCAAAGGAAUUGACGGGGGCCCGCACAAGCGGUGGAGCAUGUGGUUUAAUUCGAUGAUACGCGAGGAACCUUACCAAGGCUUAAAUGUAGAUUGACCGGUUGGAAACAG